rnacentral:rRNA from 1 species
UGUCUGCUUAAUKGCGUUUCACUAAGGGCCCAUAAAUUCAAGGUAUGUUAGCUAUCGCCGCUCUAUGGACCCCYUAACUYAACGGUUAAGCGCGCGUCUUUAUUUAAAGAGUUUARGGCAUUGCGCRUGCUGUUGGGCUCUGAAAGCAACGAACGUGACCGCAACGUCUUGUUSCCUUAAUUAAGUCGUGUUUAAAUGGUAUUUGAUUACAAUUUAACCGCUUACCGAGGCUAUUAAAACUAGACGGACCGCUGUUUCUUUUCUUAAACCAGAGGAAGGUUGCGGCAAUAACAGGUCUGKGAUGCCCUUAGAUGUUCCGGGCUGCACACGUGCUACAAUGAUCAGUACAGUGAGCAUCUCAAUAUAAUACACCGUCUUUAGCGCUUAGACGCGGUUAUUGGCUUACUUUUUUUUAUUAACGAGUGAGUUUAAUUAACCGAUGAUUUCUAAUGUGCGCGGUAAAGCCUGCUUCGAGAGUAAGCGGGUAAUCCAUUGGAAGUAAUGAUUUCUCUAUAUCUAGUGCUACAACUAUGUACGGCAUUCAUUCCCGAGACGGCUAGUKCCGUNCUUUUAGUGCGAAUGUAGUGUUGUCAAACGUM